rnacentral:rRNA from 1 species
AUUGAACGCUGGCGGCAUGCCUUACACAUGCAAGUCGAACGGCAGCGGGGGAGAAGCUUGCUUUUCCUGCCGGCGAGUGGCGAACGGGUGAGUAAUACAUCGGAACGUGCCCUGUAGUGGGGGAUAACUAGUCGAAAGAUUAGCUAAUACCGCAUACGAUCUACGGAUGAAAGUGGGGGAUCGCAAGACCUCAUGCCCCUGGAGCGGCCGAUAUCUGAUUAGCUAGUUGGUGGGGUAAAAGCCUACCAAGGCAACGAUCAGUAGCUGGUCUGAGAGGACGACCAGCCACACUGGGACUGAGACACGGCCCAGACUCCUACGGGAGGCAGCAGUGGGGAAUUUUGGACAAUGGGGGCAACCCUGAUCCAGCAAUGCCGCGUGAGUGAAGAAGGCCUUCGGGUUGUAAAGCUCUUUUGUCAGGGAAGAAACGGUAGUAGCGAAUAACUACUACUAAUGACGGUACCUGAAGAAUAAGCACCGGCUAACUACGUGCCAGCCGCCGCGGUAA